rnacentral:rRNA from 1 species
UUGCCAUCAUUCAGUUGGGCACUUUAGAGAGACUGCCGGUGUUAAGCCGGAGGAAGUGGGGAUGACGUCAAGUCCUCAUGGCCUUUAUGUCUAGGGCUACACACGUGCUACAAUGGGUGGUACAAAGAGCAGCUAACUCGCGAGAGUAUGCAAAUCUCAAAAAGCCAUCCUCAGUUCGGAUUGGAGUCUGCAACUCGACUCCAUGAAGUUGGAAUCGCUAGUAAUCGCGGAUCAGCAUGCCGCGGUGAAUACGUUCCCGGGCCUU